rnacentral:rRNA from 3 species
GGUUGCACCAGAAGUAGAUAGCUUAACCUUCGGGAGGGCGUUUACCACGGUGUGAUUCAUGACUGGGGUGAAGUCGUAACAAGGUAACCCUAGGGGAACCUGGGGUUGGAUCACCUCCUUACCUUAAUGA